UUAUAGCCUAUUUCAUGAAAUGCUUUGUACAUUUGAAUAUAUAGCAGGAGCGGAAGGAUUGUUGGAAGGCCAAGUGUACAAGCAACAGAAUAGAAAGAUAAGGAGGUACCUGUGCGAACACAGAAGGUCCACCCCUGACGAACACCUCGAUAAGCUGUUGGCUCUCAGGCUUUACUUCCUUGGCAGAGAAAUGGAAGCUGACAGCUUUAUGACGGAUUGUCUUCUAUGGCAAAUCUCGCCUAGGAUUAGGAAAACAAUCUAACAAAGUAAACUUUGCAGUUCAGUGAACAUAAACCAGGCACAGAUGAGAUGCUUCGGAAAAACGAAGUUGCUGAAGAGCAUUCAGUUUGUUACAAAUAUAGCAGGAACAAAUUUCCCCACCAUAAACCCUGACAGGGAUGCUUCUAGAAGAGACUUCCCAGGGCAACUCACCAGAAGAGAUGUCUCCCUUCCAUGGUCACUGGCCUCGGUCAGCAAUGGUUUUAACCCAAAGGAACAAAAACCAAACAACAGAAGGCUGGAAAGACUGCAGAAUCAUCCUUUGAAACCCAUCAGAAGAGGACACAGAGAAACUCAAAUGAACUGCACCCCAGAGAGUGAGGAAUGCUUUCCAGGAGAAAAAGGACCAAACACUGGUCUCAUACCCGGCACAACUUCAGCAGAAGAAAUCCAUUCAUAGACUUAGUAGUCAAAAAUCUAAUGACCUUUUAAUAGUCUCAUGUGGGAAGCGUGAUUGAUUACAAUUCAAAGAAGCUUCAGCAAGCCGCAAGGCAAGUCUCUACUCACUCACCAGGUCUCUUCCAUGGGUCUUCUCUCAGUGCUUGGGUGUAGUGACCUAAAGAGAAGGAGAGGAGAUUUGAGAGAGAUGCCCCUUGAGAUGGAGUCUAUUUCUAUCUA
rnacentral:lncRNA from 1 species